GUGCGAGUAGUCUCCCGUUCGCGGCGGCUCCAGGGGGUGAGCGCUGAGAAGCUGGAGCUGCUGCUGUUGCCUGUUCUCCUGCUGCUGGAGCAGCUCAUCCUGCAUGUUUUGAUGAUGCGCAGCAGCGGCGGCCGAGGGGAACAGAGAAGGCGGCGGCGAGUCGCCGCCGCUGCCAAAGGAACCGGUUACAGCGGGUGAAAAGGGGCAGAAGAGGAAUGAGAGGCGGUUGCCGUCGCUGCCGGGAAUGGCAAAGACCAGGUGCUUCCUACACCCAACGGUGGGCUUGAGGGUCGCCUUCUUUAGGAGCCCGAAGCAGUGGUCCCUAGGCAACGGGGGUGGGGGGCUUCCCCUGACAACGGCUCCACGGAGGGGCUUACUCCCCCACCCCGGGAGUCUGAAGAGACAAAGAUAAUUAAUAAUCUUUAGGGGGUGGGGGGUAAACACCCGCCUACCGCGAACCCUGGUACGAAUCAAAAAAUUGCCUAGUUCUAGAAUAAUCCCUUCUUCCUUGCCGUAACAUCCACUACAUGUUUAAUAUCCGAGCCUUUUAAUAAAUAAUCUUGUUUUUAUCAGG